GCUCAGGACGUUGAAAAUCGAUUCUCGAUUUUCAGACUACAGAAUCGAUCCCUGAAUUAUCCCCAGAUUACGAUCUUACAUAUAUAUACACACACAUAUAUAUUUGUGUGGAUAUAUGUAUCGCAAUCAUAUAUCGUCUUUGGCACUUUUCGCAAAUGUUCCUUGCAACAAUAUGCCAUCGUUUGGCAUUAAAAAUGUUAAUUGCGAAUGCAGUAGAAGAUAGUAAAAA